GGGAAUGUUAGGCGGCUGGUGCCGCCCCCGGACUUCAAAUCCGAGUGUCGGGGCGUGGAACGUUCCGAGGUGUGUUCGAUUCGCACACAUUCCCGCCA
rnacentral:tRNA from 1 species